rnacentral:lncRNA from 1 species
CCCAUUCCUAGAUCCCUGCAGUGCACAGGAAAUCAAAACUAAUAAAAUUAACACCACUGAACCACAGAACCCACAAAUGCUGGUCAUGGUUUUGUUUCCAGUCGACAUGGGAGCUGAUGAGCUAAUUUUAUAACUAUCACAAUUCCCUUCUCCCAGCAGCUGCAAGAUCAAUAGAGAUGAGAUCUCCAAGUUGUCCGCUGACACCUAAGAAAAAUGGUGAUACUGUUAUGCCUCUGUGAUCUAAAGUAGGGGACAGCAAGCUUUCUGAAAGAUCCAUAAAUAUUUUAGUCUUUGUAGCCUCACAAUCACCAACAUGUAAAUGGAUGAAU